rnacentral:tRNA from 1 species
GCGGGGGUUACCGAGUCAGGCCAAAGGUGCAGCGUUGAGGGCGCUGUCCCGUAGGGGUCCGAGGGUUCAAAUCCCUCCUCCCGCA